GUCCACGCCCUAAACGAUGUCAACUGGUUGUUGGACGGCUUGCUGUUCAGUAACGAAGCUAACGCGUGAAGUUGACCGCCUGGGGAGUACGGCCGCAAGGUUGAAACUCAAAGGAAUUGACGGGGGACCCGCACAAGCGGUGGAUGAUGUGGUUUAAUUCGAUGCAACGCGAAAACCUUACCUACCCUUGACAUGUCUGGAAUCCUAAAGAGAUUUGGGAGUGCUCGAAAGAGAGCCAGAACACAGGUGCUGCAUGGCCGUCGU
rnacentral:rRNA from 1 species